GAUCAUGGCUCAGGAUGAACGCUAGCUACAGGCUUAACACAUGCAAGUCGAGGGGUAACAAGAGAAAAGCUUGCUUUCUGUUGACGACCGGCGCACGGGUGAGUAACGCGUAUCCAACCUGCCUAUAACUAGGGAAUAACCUUGCGAAAGUAAGACUAAUACCCUAUGAUUCCUUUGAUGACAUCAGAUUAGGAAUAAAGAUUUAUCGGUUAUAGAUGGGGAUGCGUCUGAUUAGCUUGUUGGCGGGUAACGGCCCACCAAGGCAACGAUCAGUAGGGGUUCUGAGAGGAAGGUCCCCCACAUUGGAACUGAGACACGGUCCAAACUCCUACGGGAGGCAGCAGUGAGGAAUAUUGGUCAAUGGGCGGAAGCCUGAACCAGCCAAGUAGCGUGCAGGAUGACGGCCCUAUGGGUUGUAAACUGCUUUUAUACAGGAAUAAAGCUAGCCACGUGUGGUUAUUUGUAGGUACUGUAUGAAUAAGGACCGGCUAAUUCCGUGCCAGCAGCCGC
rnacentral:rRNA from 1 species